GGCUAGUCCUAGUACAGUGGUGUUUACAACUAAUUGAGCACAACCAGUUAGAGAUUUCUUUGUUUCUUCUUCACUUGGCUAGCCUUUA
rnacentral:sRNA from 1 species